rnacentral:rRNA from 1 species
ACGGGAGGCAGCAGUGGGGAAUAUUGCACAAUGGGCGAAARCCUGAUGCAGCAACGCCGCGUGAGGGAUGACGGCYUYCGGGUUGUAAACCYYUUUUAGCAGGGAAGAAGCGAAAGUGACGGUACCUSCAGAAARMGCGCCGGCUAACUACGUGCCAGCAGCCGCGGUAAUACGUAGGGCGCAAGCGUUAUCCGGAAUUAUUGGGCGUAAAGAGCUCGUAGGCGGUUUGUCGCGUCUGCUGUGAAAUCCCGAGGCUCAACCUCGGGCCUGCAGUGGGUACGGGCAGACUAGAGUGCGGUAGGGGAGAUUGGAAUUCCUGGUGUAGCGGUGGAAUGCGCAGAUAUCAGGAGGAACACCGAUGGCGAAGGCAGAUCUCUGGGCCGUAACUGACGCUGAGGAGCGAAAGGGUGGGGAGCAAACAGGCUUAGAUACCCUGGUAGUCCACCCCGUAAACGUUGGGAACUAGUUGUGGGGUCCAUUCCACGGAUUCCGUGACGCAGCUAACGCAUUAAGUUCCCCGCCUGGGGAGUACGGCCGCAAGGCUAAAACUCAAAGGAAUUGACGGGGACCCGCACNAGCGGCGGAGCAUGCGGAUUAAUUCGAUGCAACGCGAAGAACCUUACCAAGGCUUGACAUAUACGAGAACGGGCCAGAAAUGGUCAACUCUUUGGACACUCGUAAACAGGUGGUGCAUGGUUGUCGUCAGCUCGUGUCGUGAGAUGUUGGGUUAAGUCCCGCAACGAGCGCAACCCUCGUUCUAUGUUGCCAGCAYGUAAUGGUGGGAACUCAUGGGAUACUGCCGGGGUCAACUCGGAGGAAGGUGGGGAUGACGUCAAAUCAUCAUGCCCCUUAUGUCUUGGGCUUCACGCAUGCUACAAUGGCCGGUACAAAGGGCUGCAAUACCGUGAGGUGGAGCGAAUCCCAAAAAGCCGGUCCCAGUUCGGAUUGAGGUCUGCAACUCGACCUCAUGAAGUCGGAGUCGCUAGUAAUCGCAGAUCAGCAACGCUGCGGUGAAUACGUUCCCGGGUCUUGUACACACCGCCCGUCAAGUCAUGAAAGUCGGUAACACCUGAAGCCGG